AACCGCGCGGCAACCGCCCGCCUCGGGAGUGCAGUGUGUGACCGCCCUAACAUUACAUACAUCGGACUGUUGAGAUCACAGUGACGCUCGAAAAUUCAGUGUACGUUCCAAAUUCAAAAAUCAAAACACAACGUUGUUCCAUUUCAAAAUCAAAGAAAUACGGAGCACACGCGGUGUUUUUGGGAAAUGUUUGUAAUUGGCAUUUAUAAGUGACGUGACAGUGUUUUGUGGACGCAGUGGAAGCACUACGGAAUCCCGAUCCCGUCUCUCUUGCUAUCCGACCCCGGCUCUCUUUGUGCGCUGUUGAAGGCAUCCCAGUGUUUGACAGUUGCCGAAAUAGUUCUCCAGUUUGACAAUCGGACGGUUGCAAGUGGACCAUUAUAAUAAUGUUUCGGAUUUGACAAUACACGAACACCGCUCUAUUUCUUGCUACAGAAUUGCUCGGUAAUACAUCAAUUUUGGUGGUGGCUAUGACGUUGAAGAUCAUAUAGCGCGCCAGGGUGGCGGCCUCCAAGUAUGGCGGUGGUGGGCUGUCGCUCGGCUCCGGCGUGUCGGUGAGGCGCGGCAUGAAGUGCGCGGGCGUCGCGGGCGCCGGCGACGAGCUCAUGCUCGGCUCCUGCUGGCUCGACCCCAAGGACGCGGCCUCGCC